rnacentral:lncRNA from 1 species
UAUAUAUGUAAGCCUCAAAUCUAUGUCCGGCCUCAAAUCUAUGUCCUUUCCGCAAAUCUAUGUCCUUUUUAAUAUUGCGUCAUAGACGUUCCAAAUCUAUGUCCUGUAUUGUCUCACAUCUAUGUCCUUUAUUUACUCAAAUCUAUGGCCAUUUUUGGCUCAAAUCUAUGUCCUUUCAUUGACGUAAAACAUAACAAAACGUCAUCAAGUAAACAAUGAAAAGUUAACAAUUACAGGUGUAAGUACGGCCUUUAACACGGAGCAUUAACUCACACCGAACAAACAUUGAACAAGUGGUUUAUAUGACAAAAGCAAGGUUAACAUUUUAUCUAUUAAUACACAUGGUUUAAAAUUGCUUUAUGUUUUGUUUUUUAAACUGGAGGAAAAUCUGUUAUGAAUAGUGGACUGAUGAAAUAUUUUCAAAAACGUCA